GAUGAACGCUGGCGGCGUGCCUAAUACAUGCAAGUCGAGCGAAUGGAUUAAGAGCUUGCUCUUAUGAAGUUAGCGGCGGACGGGUGAGUAACACGUGGGUAACCUGCCCAUAAGACUAGGAUAACUCCGGGAAACCGGGGCUAAUACCGGAUAACAUUUUGAACCGCAUGGUUCGAAAUUGAAAGGCGGCUUCGGCUGUCACUUAUGGAUGGACCCGCGUCGCAUUAGCUAGUUGGUGAGGUAACGGCUCACCAAGGCAACGAUGCGUAGCCGACCUGAGAGGGUGAUCGGCCACACUGGGACUGAGACACGGCCCAGACUCCUACGGGAGGCAGCAGUAGGGAAUCUUCCGCAAUGGACGAAAGUCUGACGGAGCAACGCCGCGUGAGUGAUGAAGGCUUUCGGGUCGUAAAACUCUGUUGUUAGAGAAGAACAAGUGCUAGUUGAAUAAGCUGGCGCCUUGACGGUACCUAACCAGAAAGCCACGGCUAACUACGUGCCAGCCGCCGCGGUAA
rnacentral:rRNA from 1 species